rnacentral:rRNA from 1 species
UUGACCUCGGAUCAGGCAGGGAUACCCGCUGAACUUAAGCAUAUCAAUAAGCGGAGGAAAGGAAACCAACAGGGAUUGCCUCAGUAACGGCGAGUGAAGCGGCAACAGCUCAAAUUUGAAAUCUGGCUCUUUUAGGGUCCGAGUUGUAAUUUGUAGAGGAUGCUUCGGCGUCGGCUCCGGUCUAAGUUCCUUGGAACAGGACGUCAUAGAGGGUGAGAAUCCCGUAUGUGAUCGGUUGCCCUUGCCAUGUGAAAGCUCCUUCGACGAGUCGAGUUGUUUUGGGAAUGCAGCUCUAAAUGGGAGGUAAAAUUCUUCUAAAGCUAAAAUAUUGGCGANAGACCGAUAGCGAACAAGUACNCGUGAGGGAAAGAUGAAAANCNCUUUGGGAAAGAGAGNUNAACAGUAC